rnacentral:rRNA from 1 species
CCGGCAGCUAACGCAUUAAGCACUCCGCCUGGGGAGGACGACCGCAAGGUUGAAACUCAAAGGAAUUGCCGGGGGCCCGCACAAGCGGUGGAGCAUGUGGUUAAAUUCGAAGCAACGCGAAGAACCUUACCAGGUCUUGACAUCCUUUGACCACUCUAGAGAUAGAGCUUCCCCGUCGGGGGCAAAGUGACAGGUGGUGCAUGGUUGUCGUCCGCUCGUGUCGUGAGAUGUUGGGUUAAGUCCCGCAACGCGC